rnacentral:pre_miRNA from 1 species
CCACCUCCCCUGCAAACGUCCAGUGACGCAGAGGUAGUGGACGUUGGCUCUGGUGGUGAUG